CUGGACAGACCGCCAACUUAUGAGGAGGCCGAUGUGGAGUCGCAUCUUGUUAACCUAUGUCAGGAGGUUUUACAGUUGUAUAUUGAAACUUCUAACCAUGGACAGACAUCUGAAUCUUCUGCCAGUGGGCAAGUGCGAUGGUUAAUACCUUUAGGUUCUGGGAAACGGAGGGAAUUGGCUGCACGAGCACCUCUUAUUGUGGCAACCCUCCAGGCCAUCUGUACCUUAGAAGAGACCUCCUUCGAGAAGAACCUAGCUUGUUUCUUUCCCCUACUUUCAAGCUUGAUAAGUUGUGAACAUGGGUCAAAUGAGAUUCAGGUAGCACUCAGUGACAUGCUAGAUGCAUCGGUGGGCCCGAUUUUGCUUCGGAC
rnacentral:lncRNA from 1 species